AGACUUCAGGCCGCGCCGUCCGAGAGUCGGGGCCCUUUGAGGUGGCUUAGGCGGUAUCCCUGAGUUGACAGCAUCACCCCGUCCCGCGUCCUCCUCUCCUCUGUUUUGUUUUUCAUCUCUCCCUCCUCCCUCCAGUCCCCGACGACUGGCCCUAGACCCUCGCUGAAGGUGAGCUGAGCCACCGGCGAGUGGGCCGCUCCGAAAUGGCCGCUGCCUUGAGCUGUCUAAAAUGGCGGUCUCGUGCUCGGCUGGGGACCGCGACGCGGCUCUGCAGCCCAGCCGCAGCCGAGACGGCUUCUGGUUACUCCCGUUCCCACCCUAUCCCUUAAUUUUAUUUUUCUGAAGAAUCUGCAGUUCAAGCUAUCAAGGUGGAGAGAGCAAUUACAGAAAGACGUGUUCAUUGUUUCAGCAGUGCACCUAUGUGACAUGGGUUUACAUAUUAUGCUGCAACAAAAACAAGUACAGGAAAAGACUUGAUGCUGCGGCUUAAAUGCGGAUCUGACUUAGCAACAUCACACCUAAUAUGUGUGUGGUAAAAAGACGUAGAAACACUAUUCUCAUCGAAAUUGAAGGGGUUUGCAUGUCUUAUUGUUAAUGUAAGAUGAAAAUAAAAGAUGGGUUUAUCUCUG